rnacentral:lncRNA from 1 species
CAAAGAUCUAAACCGAACAUCCAAUUCUUAAAUUACAAUAACAUAUUUAAUGGUUCUAUAUCACUGGCAUAUCCACGGUACUGUUGAUUUCGGACGUCGCUGUGUAGCAAAGAUUGAAGGUCUUAUUGCUGUAACAGUUAAUAUGUUGAAAAACAUUUUCUGCGUCCUGACAACGUUGUGUUUUUUUUUAUAUACAUGAAACACCCAUUAUUGAUUUAAAGAACAACAAAAAACAUGGUCACAUUUAGUUUUCAAGUCAAUGCACCAUGCUUUUAUUUCGCGAUGUUUGCAAGUAAUUUAUGCACAUGUCACAUGUCUAUUUAAAAUGAAACGAAAGAAAUACCGUUGUUUAUAGAAUAACUAAUCGAAGAAUUCAAAUAGAGAAAAAUAUUCAACGAGUGACCGAACAACACAUUAAUUCACGAAUGCGCGUAGCGCACGAGUUAAUUAUCAGUGUUGUUCGGUCACGAGUUGAAUAUUUUUCGAUAUUUGAAUUCUUUGAUUAGUUAUUCUUUUUAUUACAUUGGCAAAUGGCUUUUUUUUAUGAAAUUAAUGUAGAAAAUGUAAGGAACUAUAUGUUUUUCCUACGCAUGUUUUGAUCCGACGUUAUCGACGUCUUGACAACGCCUAUGGUUGUAUGACGUCAGAGAGUGAAAUAACCACGUUUAUUUCACAUGUGAAAUUAUUGGUUUUUAUUUGACUGGGAAAUCAAUGUAAUCUAUUGCAACCAAUGUAAUAAUAUAUUUUAUUUCUUCUGGUUUAGAGACCAAACUCCGAAUUUCUCGGCAUGUUUCGUUGUCUUUAUGGUGUUUUUUUUAUUAGUACCGUUCAUAGCAAUUAUUAUACUGUUCGUUGUGCAUUUUGACAACUGAAAAUCGAUCAAUAUGGUAAAAAUAUGUAUAUCACAUAAUAAUACAGCUUGACAGCUUUUCAAAAUUAUUUUAUCAAGAACUACAACUUUUUACGGAACAUUCACUAUAAGAAUACGUUGCAGUAAUUGAUUUAUAUUCGAAUCUGUGACAAGCUGAUGGCAAACUCCAGGCAAUGUGUUGCAUACAUGUAUCAUCAUGACCUUCGUUUGAACUUUACCUCAAAAUCAAAAUACUAGACUUUUAGAUUUUUUUUUUUUUGCGAAAUCUCUCAGAGACUAGGUCGCAAUCUAGUGUUUCCUAUGAGUUGUCUCUACUAGGUCCUACAUUAAAAAUACACAAAAUUCAUGUGCUUUGAUUUUCAAUAAAAAAUAUAUAAAAAUGUCAAAUAGUUUGACAACUUCUUGCGGGAGUUUCUGCCCUUAAAUGAUGCAUUUUAACACACA